rnacentral:rRNA from 1 species
CCCGCACAAGCGGUGGAGUAUGUGGUUUAAUUCGACGCAACGCGAAGAACCUUUACCUGGUCUUGACAUCCCGGGAAUCUUUAGGAAACUAGAGAGUGCCUCGCAAGAGGAGCCCCGGUGACAGGUGCUGCAUGGCUGUCGUCAGCUCGUGUCGUGAGAUGUUGGGUUAAGUCCCGCAACGAGCGCAACCCUUGUCUUUAGUUGCCAGCAUUCAGUUGGGCACUCUAAAGAGACUGCCGGUGUCAAACCGGAGGAAGUGGGGAUGACGUCAAGUCCUCAUGGCCUUUAUGACCAGGGCUACACACGUACUACAAUGGCAUAUACAAAGGGCGGCGACAUCGCGAGGUGAAGCGAAUCCCAAAAAUAUGUCUCAGUCCGGAUUGGAGUCUGCAACUCGACUCCAUGAAGUUGGAAUCGCUAGUAAUCGCGGAUCAGCACGCCGCGGUGAAUACGUUCCCGGGCCUU